rnacentral:rRNA from 1 species
GUGGGGAAUAUUGGGCAAUGGGCGCAAGCCUGACCCAGCAACGCCGCGUGAGGGAAGAAGGCUUUCGGGUUGUAAACCUCUGUCCUUGGUGACGAAACAAAUGACGGUAGCCAAGGAGGAAGCCCCGGCUAACUACGUGCCAGCAGCCGCGGUAAUACGUAGGGGGCGAGCGUUGUCCGGAAUUACUGGGCGUAAAGGGUGCGUAGGUGGCCUUUUAAGUUGGAUGUGAAAUACCCGGGCUUAACUUGGGGGGUGCAUCUAAUACUGGGAGGCUAGAGUGCAGGAGAGGGAAGCGGAAUUCCUAGUGUAGCGGUGAAAUGCGUAGAUAUUAGGAGGAACACCAGUGGCGAAGGCGGCUUUCUGGACUGUAACUGACACUGAGGCACGAAAGCGUGGGGAGCAAACAGGAUUAGAUACCCCAGUAGUCC